GACGAACGCUGGCGGCGUGCUUAACACAUGCAAGUCGAACGAAGAGCGAUGGAAGCUUGCUUCUAUCAAUCUUAGUGGCGAACGGGUGAGUAACGCGUAAUCAACCUGCCCUUCAGAGGGGGACAACAGUUGGAAACGACUGCUAAUACCGCAUACGAUCUAACCUCGGCAUCGAGGAUAGAUGAAAGGUGGCCUCUACAUGUAAGCUAUCACUGAAGGAGGGGAUUGCGUCUGAUUAGCUAGUUGGAGGGGUAACGGCCCACCAAGGCGAUGAUCAGUAGCCGGUCUGAGAGGAUGAACGGCCACAUUGGGACUGAGACACGGCCCAGACUCCUACGGGAGGCAGCAGUGGGGAAUCUUCCGCAAUGGACGAAAGUCUGACGGAGCAACGCCGCGUGAGUGAUGACGGCCUUCGAGUUGUAAAGCUCUGUUAAUCGGGACGAAAGGCCUUCUUGCGAAUAGUGAGAAGGAUUGACGGUACCGGAAUAGAAAGCCACGGCUAACUACGUG
rnacentral:rRNA from 1 species